rnacentral:lncRNA from 1 species
GGGACUUUUGGUAUAGCAUUGGAAAUGUAAAUGAGCUAAAUACCGAAUUAAAAAAAAAAAAAAAAAGCGACACACUGAAAAAAAAAUCUUAUUUCCUUUGUCUCACAAGACCACAUUAAGUGUUAUUACAGGAAUGUAAACAAAGUUCCAAGUCCACAAAGACAAACACAGCAGAAAAAAAAAAAAACAAAAAACAAAAAAAAAAAAAAAAAAAAGAAAUUGAUCUCGCUUUGACCAGUGCUUUGCCUGUCCUUAAGAGAUCAUGACAAAUGGGCUCCUAGCGUCUCUUAGGAGGAACGGGAUUCAGUUAUAAAGGAACCGUCUUCCAAGUCGGUUGUUACUGUUCAAUAGCUUUCUAAGCCAUAGCAAGGCUUUCCUUUCAUAUGGCCAAGCCUGCCUUUAACAAUUUUAUUUUGACAGUCUUAAAUUUUAAGUCUGUCAGAAUAUUUUUAAUUAUGUUUAUAUAAAUAUUAAGUAUGUUUAUGAUAAUUUGGUACAUGUAUCACAUAUGUAGUGAUCAAAUCAGGGUAGUUCUCAUUUCUUUAUCUUCAAAUAGCAUUUCUGUGGUUGUUAACCUGGAUUACCCUCUGCUCUUAGAUGUAACUAAAUAUAUAAACUUAUUUGUCUUAAUUCUGUUUUUCAAAAGACCAUAGAAAAGAAUCCCAAUGUGUUUUCAUAGGGUAGUAUUUCUUACAGCUGAAGGCAUAACGAUGCUGUUCCCAACAUUUCCAUGCAUAUAGCUUAAAUACUUCCCAGUUUCCAUAUGAAGUUUUUCAAUUGUAGAAUGAACCUGUAUUAAUUAAACCUGCUUUACUCUGAGUAUUCGUCUCAUAGUUUCUUUAUAAUAGAGAUUGGCAAAAUACACAAGAAUUAUUUCCAUUUUGCUGUAACUAGCUUUGAUCAUGUCCUUACAAAAAUAUUAAAAGAUUUUCAUGUAUUUAAAUGUUCCUUGAUGAUUGCAAAUUAUUAUUUUCCUGUUUAUAGAUAAAUUUUUAGUGAUAGGAAAAGUUUACUCUCUGCUCCAAGGACAGACUGGGGAGGAAACAGAGCUAUUGAGGUUUUAUUCUUCUCCCAGCCUUUCCUUGAUUCUUUGUGAGUUUCCCAUUGUCCAUCCCAGUCUCACUCAGCUCCCCAUUCCUCACAUCUGCCCUCUGCCCUUGCAACUCCCCCCCCCCC